rnacentral:tRNA from 1 species
GGGGAUUUAGCUCAGUGGCAUAAGUGCCUGCCUUGCAAGCAGGCAGUCUAGAACAAGCAGGCAGUCGUUAAGUUCAAUCCCCG